rnacentral:lncRNA from 1 species
UGGAAACUGCUUGCUCAGGUUUUUUUCUAGCCAAUUUCAGUUGAAUUUCAUUUAUCUUUCUUACACUAAUAUUUGGAGUUAUGAAUAACUAAGUUUUUUUAAUAUGCCAGGUAUGAACGAAUGGUCAGAAGGUUUCUUUUUCAUUUAUAUCAGUAUGGUUGAUGAUGAGAUCGAGAAUAACAAUCUUGAUCUUCUUGUUGUUCCUCAAUAUGGGAGGAAUCCUGACCACAUUGGUUAAAGAUAAUGUUACUCUCUUGUGACAUAUUUAAUUAAAUAAAAUGAUGAGUACUGUUAUUAUCUAAUCAAUCAUAUAAGUGUGGGUUUGGUUUAGUUCAAUUACUAAAAUCUAUUGAGCUAUACAAAAUAUUUUAUUUACCUUCAUGUACUUUCUCUUCCUUAAUGUAUAAAUAAAAUUGUCAUGUGUCAUCGCGUUGGUUAAAUUAGUCAGUCAAUAAGAUAAAAUCUUGUGAUGCUGUCGGUAUCAAUUUAGUUA